UGUUACUCAUAUAUGAAGCUUUAUCUUGGAGAUAAUUGAACCUUUUCUCGAUAUCGAUUAAUAGAUAUUGAUAACUUUAAACAAGAUUCGUUCACAAACUUUAUGAUUCGUUAAAAUAUUUUUUUUUUAUUUCAAAUUGAGAAUUGUGGAUUCAAAUUGCAGUUAAUGCACGCAUCACAGGAGACACAUACUGACAAGGGACUAAAUCACGUGUGUGUGUGAGUUGAUGUUGAUCCCUCAGUUUCUUACCUAGAAAGUCUCAUUAAUAGAUUCAUGAGAUGUGACAUCAAUAAGGUACUGUUUCCUUCAAUUAUUGAUCUGAAAAGAAAAGUUGAUUGUCAUGGUAUCUUAUUUCUUUUUUUUUUGUAUUAUGAUAUUAAACGAUGUCUUUGGGCAGACAACUAGAAGUAAUUAAUUUCAAUCUAGUUUAGAUCCUUCAAACAAGUGAAAUUACAUUGUAUGUGUAUUGAGCGUUUCCGAUGUAGAUAAAUCUGGGAAAGCGCUUUGACACACGGAAAUAUAACUGCUUCUCCAGUUUACAAGCACUAGCAUGACUAGGGCGAUAUAGGUCAUCAGCUCAUUUUUCAGUGACAUGAUUAAGAACAAUUUUUUUCUUAAAUUCUCCGUGGAUAAAAUAUUCAAUUAUAAAAAUAAUAAGAUUCCAUCUACCUCAGACUCGGUUUACCGAAGACAGAUAUAUAAAGUGUUACUUUUAUUUAUAUCUUCAUAUCUCAUACAGUUUUGAUUUUACUUUGCUGAUUGUUGACAGAUCUAUUUUUCAGAUGGUUUGGUGUGUCCAUACUGCCAACAGAAAUGCUUCUGCAAAUGUGCUUGCAGUUUCUGCGUUUAUAAAAUUUGUACCAAACCGAAGCGCAAGGAAUGCGGCUGUACGUGAUUGAAAGAGUGAAGAAAUUCUGAAAGUAAACAUAAUUUUGUGAUAUCGAAAAUCUAAACAAUGCUAACACUAUAUCUUGUAUACGGAAUUGUUUCAUGUUUGACAUUCUUCAUAAUUAUAUUAAUAUAUUUUGUCUGUUAACUUCAAAUUUCUGUAUCGAGUAAUUGUAACUUUAUGUACGACUCAUUUUAUAUGAAAUCCUAUAUGUCGGCCAUUAUAAGCUUCAUUAUGGGCCUGCACUAAGCCGGUCCAUCAUAUGAUAUGGGUUUGAGAUUGUUUCAUGAGUUUCUGCG
rnacentral:lncRNA from 1 species